rnacentral:rRNA from 1 species
AUGACGAAGCCUAAAAGAGCGGGGCGCAUUGGAUUCCGAGAUAUGCGCCUUUUCAAUCAGGCUCUUCUUGCCAGACAGGGGUGGAGAUUGAUUCAGAAACCGGAUAGCCUGUGUGCGAAGGUACUCAAGUCAAAAUACUACCCUAACGGAAACCUGCUUGAUACAGUCUUCUCAUCGGAUGCUUCCCCGGUCUGGCGAGGCAUUGAGUUUGGUCUGGAACUCCUUAAAGAAGGCCUCAUCUGGCGUAUUGGAGACGGCAAAAAUAUACAGAUCACAAGAGACCAAUUUUUUUUUAUUUAG